GAUGAAGAACGCAGCGAAAUGCGAUACGUAAUGUGAAUUGCAAAUUCAGUGAAUCAUCGAGUCUUUGAACGCACAUUGCGCCCCCUGGUAUUCCGGGGGGGCAUGCCUGUCCGAGCGUCAUUGCUGCCCUCAAGCACGGCUUGUGUGUUGGGCCCCGUCCUCCGAUCCCGGGGGACGGGCCCGAAAGGCAGCGGCGGCACCGCGUCCGGUCCUCGAGCGUAUGGGGCUUUGUCACCCGCUCUGUAGGCCCGGCCGGCGCUUGCCGAUCAACCCAAAUUUUUAUCCAGGUUGACCUCGGAUCAGGUAGGGAUACCCGCUGAACUUAAGCAUAUCAAUAAGCGGAGGA
rnacentral:misc_RNA from 1 species